rnacentral:rRNA from 1 species
CCUACGGGAGGCAGCAGUGGGGAAUUUUGGACAAUGGGCGAAAGCCUGAUCCAGCCAUUCCGCGUGCAGGAUGAAGGCCCUCGGGUUGUAAACUGCUUUUGUACAGAACGAAAAGGUUUCUAUUAAUACUAGGAGCUCAUGACGGUACUGUAAGAAUAAGCACCGGCUAACUACGUGCCAGCAGCCGUGGUAAUACGUAGGGUGCAAGCGUUAAUCGGAAUUACUGGGCGUAAAGCGUGCGCAGGCGGUUAUAUAAGUCAGAUGUGAAAUCCCCGGGCUCAACCUGGGAACUGCAUUUGAGACUGUAUAGCUAGAGUACGGUAGAGGGGGAUGGAAUUCCGCGUGUAGCAGUGAAAUGCGUAGAUAUGCGGAGGAACACCGAUGGCGAAGGCAAUCCCCUGGACCUGUACUGACGCUCAUGCACGAAAGCGUGGGGAGCAAACAGGAUUAGAUACCCUGGUAGUCCACGCCCUAAACGAUGUCAACUGGUUGUUGGGUCUUAACUGACUCAGUAACGAAGCUAACGCGUGAAGUUGACCGCCUGGGGAGGACGGCCGCGAGUAGUAACGUACGAAGAAGUUAGACGGCGUGAGACGUGCCGACGGACGACGACGAGGGAGGAGGG